rnacentral:rRNA from 1 species
UUGAACGCUGGCGGCAGGCCUAACACAUGCAAGUCGAGCGGUAACAGAACUAGCUUGCUAGUUGCUGACGAGCGGCGGACGGGUGAGUAACGCGUAGGAAUCUGCCCGGUAGCGGGGGAUAGCCCAGAGAAAUUUGGAUUAAUACCGCAUACGCCCUACGGGGGAAAGCAGGGGAUCUUCGGACCUUGCGCUAUCGGAUGAGCCUGCGUCGGAUUAGCUAGUUGGUGGGGUAAUGGCCUACCAAGGCGACGAUCCGUAGCUGGUCUGAGAGGAUGAUCAGCCACACCGGAACUGAGACACGGUCCGGACUCCUACGGGAGGCAGCAGUGGGGAAUAUUGCACAAUGGGCGCAAGCCUGAUGCAGCCAUGCCGCGUGUGUGAAGAAGGCCUUCGGGUUGUAAAGCACUUUCAGUAGGGAGGAAAGGUUGUAGAUUAAUACUCUGCAGCUGUGACGUUACCUACAGAAGAAGCACCGGCUAA